rnacentral:rRNA from 1 species
GCCGGUCGAAGAUACCAGGCCGCUGCGACUGUUUAUUAAAAACACAGCACUCUGCAAACACGAAAGUGGACGUAUAGGGUGUGACGCCUGCCCGGUGCCGGAAGGUUAAUUGAUGGGGUUAGCGCAAGCGAAGCUCUUGAUCGAAGCCCCGGUAAACGGCGGCCGUAACUAUAACGGUCCUAAGGUAGCGAAAUUCCUUGUCGGGUAAGUUCCGACCUGCACGAAUGGCGUAACGAUGGCGGCGCUGUCUCCACCCGAGACUCAGUGAAAUUGAAAUCGCUGUGAAGAUGCAGUGUAUCCGCGGCUAGACGGAAAGACCCCGUGAACCUUUACUAUAGCUUUGCACUGGACUUUGAAUUUGCUUGUGUAGGAUAGGUGGGAGGCUUUGAAGUGGGGACGCCAGUUCUCAUGGAGCCAUCCUUGAAAUACCACCCUGGCAACUUUGAGGUUCUAACUCAGGUCCGUUAUCCGGAUCGAGGACAGUGUAUGGUGGGUAGUUUGACUGGGGCGGUCUCCUCCCAAAGAGUAACGGAGGAGUACGAAGGUGCGCUCAGACCGGUCGGAAAUCGGUCGUAGAGUAUAAAGGCAAAAGCGCGCUUGACUGCGAGACAAACACGUCGAGCAGGUACGAAAGUAGGUCUUAGUGAUCCGGUGGUUCUGUAUGGAAGGGCCAUCGCUCAACGGAUAAAAGGUACUCCGGGGAUAACAGGCUGAUACCGCCCAAGAGUUCAUAUCGACGGCGGUGUUUGGCACCUCGAUGUCGGCUCAUCACAUCCUGGGGCUGAAGCCGGUCCCAAGGGUAUGGCUGUUCGCCAUUUAAAGUGGUACGCGAGCUGGGUUUAGAACGUCGUGAGACAGUUCGGUCCCUAUCUGCCGUGGACGUUUGAGAUUUGAGAGGGGCUGCUCCUAGUACGAGAGGACCGGAGUGGACGAACCUCUGGUGUUCCGGUUGUCACGCCAGUGGCAUUGCCGGGUAGCUAUGUUCGGAAGAGAUAACCGCUGAAAGCAUCUAAGCGGGAAACUUGCCUCAAGAUGAGAUCUCACUGG